CUAAGAAAAACCCUUGAAUGAGUAGGUGUCUAAACCUUUGACUGGUGCUGUAUAUUUCUAUAGUAAUUGAAUCAUGUAAUUCCCAGUGCUUUAUUAAUACAUGUAAUAGGUUACUACUAUUCAAGAAAUCAGCUGUUUCAUUCAACAUGUCCAAGCAGGAAUGCAUGAUUCAAGAUAUUUUGAUGUGCAACCUAAUCUAGUGAUUGUCAUGGAUUUUGGGUUGACAAUUAGGAUAUUGUUAUAUUUUACUGGCAAAAUAGGGCUCCAGAUGUUAUUUUUCAUUUUAUGGAGAUGAAUUUGUCUACAUCUUUAUAGGCAUUAGGGGACAGUUAGAAAAUGACUGGGGGGUGGGGGUAAUAUUGAUAUUUUCCAAACGCUGCGAAACAACAUGUUUCAUUGCCCAUGAUGAGGCUUUUUAUCAGCGUAAUUGACCUCACAAUAAGCCCGUGUCGAGUAACUUACAUGACAGCUUUGUGGUGCUGUAAUGAGAAGCUGCAGCCGCUGUGCAAUCAAUCAGGAGGUGGAAAGCACAUGGUGCUGUAAUGAGAAGCUGCAGCCGCUGUGCAAUCAAUCAGGAGGUGGAAAGCACAUGGUGCUGUAAUGAGAAGCUGCAGCCGCUGUGCAAUCAAUCAGGAGGUGGAAAGCACAUGGUGCUGUAAUGAGAAGCUGCAGCCGCUGUGCAAUCAAUCAGGAGGUGGAAAGCACAUGGUGCUGUAAUGAGAAGCUGCAGCCGCUGUGCAAUCAAUCAGGAGGUGGAAAGCACAUGGUGCUGUAAUGAGAAGCUGCAGCCGCUGUGCAAUCAAUCAGGAGGAGGAAAGCACAUGGUGCUGUAAUGAGAAGCUGCAGCCGCUGUGCAAUCAAUCAGGAGGAGGAAAGCACAUGGUGCUGUAAUGAGAAGCUGCAGCCGCUGUGCAAUCAAUCGGGAGGUGGAAAGCACAUGGUGCUGUAAUGAGAAGCUGCAGCCGCUGUGCAAUCAAUCGGGAGGUGGAAAGCACAUGGUGCUGUAAUGAGAAGCUGCAGCCGCUGUGCAAUCAAUCGGGAGGUGGAAAGCACAUGGUGCUGUAAUGAGAAGCUGCAGCCGCUGUGCAAUCAAUCGGGAGGUGGAAAGCACAUGGUGCUGUAAUGAGAAGCUGCAGCCGCUGUGCAAUCAAUCGGGAGGUGGAAAGCACAUGGUGCUGAAAGUACGCUAAUUUGAGUAAUUAUACAAAUAAAAAAACAUUUCACUAAUUAGCUAACAGCGAAGGCUGUGUGUUGGAGCCUAUUUCUUCCUAUUUAAGAAAUAAGAGGUAGGCCUACCUGUUUGGCCGACAAUUAUACGCUAUGUUUAGAUUUGUCGGACAAUUCCUUCAAUUGUGUCACCACUCCUUAAAUACCUCUGUGUCCGUGAAGGGCUUUGUAUGUUAAAACCAUUAAGGGGGCAGGUCUAUGUGAGGGUAUACCAUAGCCUACUUUGUUAAAGAAUAUUGCAAAAAGCCUACCCCUUUGUCAGUUUAAGAUUUUGAAGAAGUCAAAACUGAUCUUUAAACAGCGCUUUCCUCUGAUGCUAGACACGAGCCACAAAAUGCACGAGAAAGACGAGACUCUUGCGUAUGGGAAUAUCUUCCGUUUGCCUCUGAUAUUCAGAGGCUGAGCUACGAAUUUCUAUAGCCUCAAAGUCAAAAAAUGUACUUUGCUAGGGAGGUAAUCGAGUAGGCCUACAAUGUGUAACUCUUGCUAUCAAUUGAGCUAUUCACUUUUUGUAAAAGAGAAGGAGUUUAAACCCAGGCAGCUUUUAAGGAUGCACUUGUAACUAGGGUUGGGCGAUAUUAUGAUAGUAUCGUCUAUCGAGGAUGAUCGACAGCCAUUGUCGAUGGUGACGAUGACAUGAUGUGACAGACGAUGCCUAACCUAUUUCAACUUGACUGGCCGUUUUAAAUAGAGAAGCGGAGUCCGGUGGUGAAGGGCAGUGUGUAGGUGACAUUCGGAGGAAACUGUCUAUAUUCCUAUUUGCUGUAGCCUAUUUCAAUUAAUACCUUAUAUUUACAGAAUGCAAGAGAACAAUGAAGACAUGGCCUAGUUUCACCAAGCGGCGCUAAAUGUCCAGUCAGAAAAUGUUUGCUCUCUCUCUAUCUCUCUAUCUCUCUCUCAAAAAUAGUGGAUGAUUUCUCCCACCUUGACAACCAUUUUUAGGUCUUGCCAUAGAUUUUCAAGCAUAUUUAAGUCAAAACUGUAA